rnacentral:misc_RNA from 1 species
GAUGAAGAACGCAGCGAAAUGCGAUACUUGGUGUGAAUUGCAGAAUCCCGUGAACCAUCGAGUCUUUGAACGCAAGUUGCGCCCGAAGCCAUCAGGUUGAGGGCACGUCUGCCUGGGCGUCACAUAUCGUUGCCCAAUGCCUAUUGCAGUGCAAUAGGAAUUUCUAGGGCGAAUGAUGGCUUCCCGUGAGCGUUGUUGCCUCGCGGUUGGUUGAAAAUCGAGUCCUUGGUAGGGUGUGCCAUGGUAGAUGGUGGUAGAGUUAGAACGAUACCGAUCAUGUGCAUGCUCCCCAAAAUAUGGCCUCUAUGACCCACACGCGUCUUUUGACGCUCAUGACGAGACCUCAGGUCAGGCGGGGCUACCCGCUGAAUUUAAGCAUAUCAAUAAGCGGAGGA